rnacentral:rRNA from 1 species
GAUGAACGCUGGCGGCGUGCCUAAUACAUGCAAGUCGAGCGAACAGACGAGGAGCUUGCUCCUCUGACGUUAGCGGCGGACGGGUGAGUAACACGUGGAUAACCUACCUAUAAGACUGGGAUAACUUCGGGAAACCGGAGCUAAUACCGGAUAAUAUAUUGAACCGCAUGGUUCAAUAGUGAAAGACGGUUUUGCUGUCACUUAUAGAUGGAUCCGCGCCGCAUUAGCUAGUUGGUAAGGUAACGGCUUACCAAGGCGACGAUGCGUAGCCGACCUGAGAGGGUGAUCGGCCACACUGGAACUGAGACACGGUCCAGACUCCUACGGGAGGCAGCAGUAGGGAAUCUUCCGCAAAGGGCGAAAGCCUGACGGAGCAACGCCGCGUGAGUGAUGAAGGUCUUCGGAUCGUAAAACUCUGUUAUUAGGGAAGAACAAAUGUGUAAGUAACUAUGCACGUCUUGACGGUACCUAAUCAGAGAGCCACGGCUAACUACGUG